UGAAAAUGAAAAAGAAGUCAUGUGAGAAGUAACCAUAACUCAUAAUUCAUAAAUGAACAUAGAAGUUCAGUAGACAGAAUAAUAUGCUGGUUUUUACAUCUGAAAUGGGCAGCAAAUUCUGGUGUGAGGGGAAGAGCAUGGAAGGUCAUCCCGACAUACACAUAUGAUUUCCAGGGCAAAGGAAAUGGGUUUCCUUCCUUGGUAGGCUGAUUGAAUGCCAGGUCUCCAAGUUGGAACCCAUCCAUCUCCUCCUCCUGGCCAGAGACCACAUGGGCUGAAUGUAGCCAUGCAGAGGAGGUAAGCCUGGAGAGGAAAGGUUCACAGAAAUGGACACCCAUCUCACUCUUUCCACAAUUACCUUACUUCCAAGGACACCUACUUAGAGUUAGAAAAACUUUUAAGGCUUCUCUGCCAGGUUAUAUUUCCUUUCAGAAAAGGCAGUCAGCACACAUCAAACUUUACAUAUUCGUUUCUAUGAGGGGAGAUUAUAAUUUUUUUGUGCUAUGAGCUAUCAGCUGUGAUGCCUAAAGACCUGAUAUCCAUAAUUUCUCCUCAUUUUACAGCUCCAAUCUCAUUUGCCUUCCUCCAGAAUAUAGGAUGAUGAUUAGGUUACCUUGCUCACAAAGGACUGAUCUGUCCAUUGGUCCACAUCUUGGCUUUAUUUUCUGACCAAAGAUCAUAUAGUAGGUCAACAAUCAAGCUGAUCUAGAGCACAAAUCUCAGUUAUCAAGUUCCAAAAGCAAUUUUCCAGAGGUAGUAGUUUAUUGAUACGUUAAAGUAAAUUAGCACACAUUCACUCCUCAUGUAUCUGUGUACAUACUUGGCUAUUUAUGAACUCUGACCUCCAAAUGAACAUCUGUACUUAUAUUUAUGCAAAAUACUGUACUGCUUCUGCCUUGAAAAGUGUCUAUAUCAAACAUUCUCAUGCCAAAAUCUACUAUCUGACCUUGCAGCACUAAAAAUAGUUCAGGUCAGAAGCAGAGAAAUAUUUGUUUCUCCUUUUAGAACAUUUGUGCUUACAUUCAUUAAGGACUCAGUCCAAAAUCCUUUGAUGUCAAGGAGACUGUUUCAGUGGCCUUUAGAUCAAGUCUUAAAAAGGGUCAAUUAAACUUUAAAUAAAAUAAAAAUUAUAAUGCGUCCAGCCUAAGAGAAUAAGAAUAAGAAAGGCUGCAUUUGGAGUAAAGCAUCGGUCAUCGUUCUCUAAUAUUUGGCCAAACUUGUGGAAUUUUUCAUUAUUAAAAGAAUAAUCCUAUUCAAUAAGGUUGUAAUUAAUUUUUAGUCUUCAAAACAUCCACAUUUUUCUGCAUAUAGAAAUGUUGUUGCUGAGCUAGUAAGUGCAAGGAUGCUUAGACCUCAGUAGGGCAUAUAUGCCUAAGCAGUAAGAUAUGGCCCAGAUUUUCAAAGCCAGAGCAGAGACCUAAUUCCAAAAUACUCUUCUGGCUCUAAAAUAUGUUCAAGUUUUCAUCUCACUUUGUAUUUGAGCAACUCAAUAUUUUCUAAUGUCCGAUCUAAUGUUAGGCUUUGUUUUUCACACUUUGCAAAAGGAAUAAUGCAGCUCUUGGCAAUAGCAGAUGCUGAAAUUAACUUGAAGGUAGAGGAUGUUCAGUGGAAUAUAGCAGGGGCUUUAAUUUAAAACAGUGAACUUUAUUGUUCAGUUGGUAAUCCUUUUCCAUACGAAAAUGCAUAGUGUUUAGAGCAUCCAUUAUAAUAAAAAUAACUCCCAGUAUUAAUACAAGCUACAGCCUCACAGAGCUUACUGCACUGCUUGCUUGUAAUCACGUAUCAGAGACUUGAGUAAUUGGAAUGACAUAUGUCUGCAGGAAUUUUUGCUGAAUCUGGGUUAUUUGACAGUAGAAUGUUCAUCAUUCCUUCCAAACAGAUAGAAGUUUGAUCAAUUAUAUUUCAGUGGCUUACAGCCAUGUGCUAUCUGCAGUGACAUUUAUGAUCUAUUUUUGUUAUCCCCAAAUGGCCUUCAACCUUAGCAGUUAUCUGCCAACAUGUUAAAGUUUUGGUCAGUGAAAAUCCUUUAGUGUCUUGGAAAGAUUCAUGAUGUUUUCUUUUGGCCAAAGUCCAUUAUGGGUAACUACAACUUUAUCUACAUUCAACGUAUGUAAUUGAGUGGCUGUGGUAUGGCACACUGUCAUUUGGCUUCAUUUCAAUCAACUAAGAUAACUCUCUGUAUUUUCUUUCCUAUAACACUGUGUCAUGUUGCUGCAAAAAGUGAAACAGCUGCCACAUUCUCCUUCUUGAGGAUGCAUCCCAGAAUGGGCUGUUUCUUCUGAGAGGACAACAUAGCCUCCAAUUUGGCAGGUAUGAGAUGAAAUGUUUAGAAAAUGUUUCAAAGGUGGUGAAAGAUGUUGCUCACUACCAACUGAGAUGAGAGAAUCUACUAUUUUGAUAGAAAAACCUUGGGCAAGUAGUCGGGCUGUUCAGUCUUCAUUCCUUGGAAGUCCUGGGAAUUUAAACCGACCCGCAAAAGAUGUAUGCUCUUAACUUUUGGACUUCCUUUUAGAUCAUGUAUCAUAAAAGGAAACACAACGCUGCAUUCCAGGCGUUUCUAUGGUGAGGCAAGAGACUGCAGCUGUAGACCUGAAGCAAAAGGGCAUGUGCAGAGGAAUCUGAAUAAAAGGGUUUAUAAGAACUCAAAAGAUAUCAUAUAUUCACGAGCCAUACCGACGUUUAUCCCAUUGAUGAAGUAUGACCCAAAAGAAAAAUUAAAUUUAUCUUCCUUCAUUUCAUCCCUCAAGAAAUAACAUAAGAAUCUGCAAAUAUAUUUUGCAAAAUAUCUAAGCUUGAAAACUGAAUCUUGGCAGAAAGUCAAAAAAACUGCCAUCAAUUCAGGAAACAUAUUUAGGAUGGCAAAGAGGAUUUUUUGGUAUCAGUUGCUUAAAGUGUUCUUGACGAACAGCCCACCAACAGAAGGCUCAGUCCAACAUCCUCAGCAUAAGAAAAUAUUUGUUGUUGACUUCCCUGCUGUUAUAAUUUCAUCCAUUGUCUCAAAACAACAUGA